ACAGGCACCUAACCGUUUUGUUGACAAGUCAGCUCACAGUUUGCUGCACGUACAUACUGCCUAUCCCCUGCGGCCGUACCUUCGGGGCUGGCUUUAGACGCCCUGGUGGAUUUUCACACUCGCUGAUCCCUGCUGCAGUCUUCUGUAACACGGUUGCCCUUACUAUCAACUCCAAUUUUAUUCCGACGUAUCAAGUUCAGGUUGCUUUUCCAGGGCUUCAACCUGUUGAGCAUACUGUGGACUAUUUCGUUUCCUCAUUGUACUGGUUGCUCGCCUCAUUGCGACCCGAUCUCAUAUCUUAGCCCAACGGGCCGCGCCACUUAAUUAAUUCCUGCAUGAACGCUACUCUGUUUUGAAUGGUGCCCUGGUUGAGGCCCACGAUGAGCCUUAAUCUAAAAUAAAUCCAACACAAGUCAGUCAUUCAAAAUCGAAACCGACAGAGAGUUACGUUUCUCAGUGAGGUACCACCCGCUCGGCGAAGAGUUUGGUUCUCUCAACUUCCCGGCCUUAACAACUUUUGGAACUUGGUUUGCCUCUCCACCAUAUCUCCAGCUGGUAAGCACGCCAAACUGUACUGUGAAGCAAUGAUACCUAGAUCCUGCCUAUCUCCUACCAAAGAUGAGCCGAGAGAGAUGAUCUCUUUGCUGUUAUAAGUAGUAUUCACUCACCCUUAUACCUUUGGAUCCAUCCUUUGGAGUAUCAACUCACUCGAAAUAUCAAGUCCAACUCUAGAAUUCCCCAGAUGGAAAUAAUCAGAGGACCCCUCAGAGGAAGAUAAUCAUCAAGAGGUCAAGGUUAAAUCAAACGCACGUCCCAUUUCAGCGUUUGCCUAAUUGAGAGUGUUGGUGCUGGCUUCGCCCCCGAGUUUCUUCGUCAAUUGUGAUCAUGGCCUUGAACAUUAUGAUUCUGAAGUUAUUAGCGCAGAUUGCGUUUGCAAAGUUAUCCCCGUGGAUGCGUAACUCGUUAGCAUACGAUAUUGUGUUAACAGUCAUCAUGUAAGUCCCUGCCUGGGUGAAAUCUGCAGAGGAAGCUGA
rnacentral:sRNA from 1 species